AUACGUAGGUGGCAAGCGUUGUCCGGAAUUAUUGGGCGUAAAGCGCAUGUAGGCGGUUUGGUAAGUCGGUCGUGAAAAUGCGGUGCUUAACGCCGUAUGGCGAUUGAAACUGCUGAACUUGAGUGCAGGAGAGGAAAGGGGAACUCCCAGUGUAGCGGUGAAAUGCGUAGAUAUUGGGAAGAACACCGGUGGCGAAGGCGCCUUUCUGGACUGUGUCUGACGCUCAGAUGCGAAAGCCAGGGUAGCGAACGGGAUUAGAUACCCCGGUAGUCCUGGCUGUAAACGAUGGGUACUAGGUGUGGGAGGUAUCGACUCCUUCCGUGCCGGAGUUAACGCAAUAAGUACCCCGCCUGGGGAGUACGGCCGCAAGGCUUAAACUCAAAUGAAUUGACGGGG
rnacentral:rRNA from 1 species